GAUGAACGCUGGCGGCGUGCCUAAUACAUGCAAGUCGAGCGAACGGACGAGAAGCUUGCUUCUCUGAUGUUAGCGGCGGACGGGUGAGUAACACGUGGAUAACCUACCUAUAAGACUGGGAUAACUUCGGGAAACCGUAGCUAAUACCGGAUAAUAUUUUGAACCGCAUGGUUCAAAAGUGAAAGACGGUCUUGCUGUCACUUAUAGAUGGAUCCGCGCUGCAUUAGCUAGUUGGUAAGGUAACGGCUUACCAAGGCAACGAUGCAUAGCCGACCUGAGGGUGAUUGGCCACACUGGAACUGAGACACGGUCCAGACUCCUACGGGAGGCAGCAGUAGGGAAUCUUCCGCAAUGGGCGAAAGCCUGACGGAGCAACGCCGCGUGAGUGAUGAAGGUCUUCGGAUCGUAAAACUCUGUUAUUAGGGAAGAACAUAUGUGUAAGUAACUGUGCACAUCUUGACGGUACCUAAUCAGAAAGCCACGGCUAACUACGUG
rnacentral:rRNA from 1 species